GAUGACGUAGAUGCAGAGGGAACAG
rnacentral:piRNA from 1 species